UACGUAGGUGGCGAGCGUUGUCCGGAGUUACUGGGCGUAAAGAGUGCGUAGGCGGUGCUCUAAGUUUGGUGUGAAAUCUCCCGGCUCAACUGGGAGGGUGCGCCGAAAACUGGAGUGCUUGAGUAUGGGAGAGGUAAGCGGAAUUCCUGGUGUAGCGGUGAAAUGCGUAGAUAUCAGGAGGAACACCUGUGGUGUAGACAGCUUACUGGACCAUCACUGACGCUGAGGCACGAAAGCGUGGGUAGCAAACAGG
rnacentral:rRNA from 1 species